rnacentral:ncRNA from 1 species
CAAUCGGUGUAUAACAAAGUGAACUGUUCUAUGGUAGCGAAAUUCCUCGCGACAGGGGACCUUCCACUGUAAAGUGGAUUGAAUAUUUGGCUAUAUGCUGGAAUAACUUAAGUAUCCGACAGUACGAUAACGUAAUAAUCUGUUCGGUGGAGUCAAUCAGCAGGGAAGUCCGUCGGCUGACGGACCCCUCAACGACUAGACGCCAAACUCCCAAUAGUAUUGGGAUGAUGAUAUAGUCUGAACUCCGUAGCGAUACGGAG